CACAUUCCUUAAACCGUGCUUCCUCCUACAUGAGGCAUCUGCCUCACAGUAAUGAUGCCUGCUCUACCAACUCUCAAGUGAGUGAGUCUUUGCGGCAACUGAAAACAAAAGAACAAGAAGAUGAUCUAACAAGUCAGACCUUAUUUGUUCUCAAAGACAUGAAGAUCCGGUUUCCAGGAAAGUCAGAUGCAGAAUCAGAACUUCUGAUAGAAGAUAUCAUUGAUAACUGGAAGUAUCAUAAAACCAAAGUGGCUUCAUAUUGGCUCAUAAAAUUGGACUCUGUAAAACAACGAAAAAUGAAGAUGUUUUCAGUUUGUAUGAUGAUGAGAAUGAUUUAGAAGAGAGGAAUGGCCCAGGAAAGAGAGGUGUUAAAAAGUUCUUGAGUAAGUAAGCUGUGAGAGGGGGAGGGUUUUCCUAAUCAAGAGCAUUUAUUCUAACGGGGGAAGGCAGGUGCAUGGGAAUGUGGUGGGAAGAUGGGAAAGUUUUCUUCUGGUGGGGAGGGCUUCUGGAGAUUUGGGGAGAGAGU
rnacentral:sRNA from 1 species